UCGAACGGCAGCACGGAGCUUGCUCUGGUGGCGAGUGGCGAACGGGUGAGUAAUAUAUCGGAACGUACCCUAGAGUGGGGGAUAACGUAGCGAAAGUUACGCUAAUACCGCAUACGAUCUAAGGAUGAAAGUGGGGGAUCGCAAGACCUCAUGCUCGUGGAGCGGCCGAUAUCUGAUUAGCUAGUUGGUAGGGUAAAAGCCUACCAAGGCAUCGAUCAGUAGCUGGUCUGAGAGGACGACCAGCCACACUGGAACUGAGACACGGUCCAGACUCCUACGGGAGGCAGCAGUGGGGAAUUUUGGACAAUGGGCGAAAGCCUGAUCCAGCAAUGCCGCGUGAGUGAAGAAGGCCUUCGGGUUGUAAAGCUCUUUUGUCAGGGAAGAAACGGUGAGAGCUAAUAUCCCUUGCUAAUGACGGUACCUGAAGAAUAAGCACCGGCUAACUACGUGCCAGCAGCCGCGGUAAUACGUAGGGUGCAAGCGUUAAUCGGAAUUACUGGGCGUAAAGCGUGCGCAGGCGGUUUUGUAAGUCUGAUGUGAAAUCCCCGGGCUCAACCUGGGAAUUGCAUUGGAGACUGCAAGGCUAGAAUCUGGCAGAGGGGGGUAGAAUUCCACGUGUAGCAGUGAAAUGCGUAGAUAUGUGGAGGAACACCGAUGGCGAAGGCAGCCCCCUGGGUCAAGAUUGACGCUCAUGCACGAA
rnacentral:rRNA from 1 species